rnacentral:rRNA from 1 species
AAUAAUGCAAUUUAAUUGUUAUAAGAGUUAAUUAAUAGUAAAGUAAAAUUUAAUUUAAAAGUUAUUAGGUGAAAUUAGUAAGUUUUAUAAAAAUUUGGUUUGUAUGAAUUUAAGAAAUUUGUUUAUUAGACUAGGAUUAGAUACCCUAUUAUAAGAAAUGUAAAAUGAGCUCUUGAUUAGUAAUAGUUAUGAUCUUGAAAAUUAAAAAAUUUGGCGGUAUUUUAGUCUAUUCAGAGGAACCUGUCCUAUAAUCGAUAGUCCACGAGUUUAAAUUACUUUUUCUAUUAGUUUGUAUAUCGUCGUAGGUGGAAUAUUUUAUAAGAAUAAGAAUAUUCAUGAUUUUGUUUAAAAAAUAAAUCAGAUCAAGGUAUAGCUUAUGGGAAAGAAGAGAUGGGUUACAAUAAUUAUAAAUGAGGAUUUUAAAUAUUAGAUUUAAAUGAAUAUGGAUUUGAGAGUAAUUAAAUUUAGUUAAAUUUAAUGAUGAUAGCUCUAAAAUAUGUACAUAUCGCCCGUCGCUUUCACUUUAAGGUGAAAUAAGUCGUAACAAAGUAGAUUUACUGGAAAGUGAAUCUAGAAGGAUACAAGUUAGAGCUUGAUAAAAGCAUUUUAUUUACAUUAAAAAGUUAAUUGUGAAAUUCAAUUUAACUUGAAUAAAAAGAAUUAUUAAUAAUAAAUAUUAUUUUUUCUUUUUAAAAAAAAUAGUUAAUUAUUUUUAGUAUAAAUAAAAGAAAAAUUGCUGUUAAUUAUAGAGAAUUAGUAUUGUGAGAGAAAUUCAAUUAGUAUAAAAAAGUAAAAUUAAAAUUU